UUUGACAGACACAACACAUGAAAGAAAACCUCAUCAGGGACUUCCAUAACAUUCACAGCCUGUCACACUGGUGUGCUCCUGCACUGCAUUUUGGGAGAAACUUGAUGAAAGAUGAGCUGCCAAGUGACAAACAUAAGGUUCCAGGUCAACAGAUGCGUGGCAGAACGCGGCCGGAUGCCAGCAGAUCACGUGCGUUUUCACAGCACACCGACUAACACUGCGCUGUUUCGUGAGUAUACAUCACUCACGCAAAUAUUUUCACAUUUUCAGAGGCUGAAGUCACCUCAUUGAAAUGCUUCAAGAGCCUCUGCCAGUUCUCCUUUGUCAAACAGGAGCAGCACCGACAGGAAACAGGUUGGCUUAGAGAGCAGACGGAGUUUGGAAUCGGCACCCUGACUGGAGCAGAAAAUGCAAGAAAAAUAGAGCGACUAAAGGAAGUCAAAAGAAGAAUGGAGCAGGAGAUGAACACAGGCACUGGAGGGCAGAGAAGGAGCAAUGAAACAAUAAAAAUGCAGAUGAAAGUGGAGAAAAACACCCUCUAAAAAGUUUUCCAGAACACCACUUUACCCGACCUGCUGAUGACAAUUGUCUCUCAGCAUCUCAACACACACACACACACACACACGCGCACACACACACACGCGCACACACACACGCGCGCGCACAAGCAGGGUGGAGCCAUGUGUCAAGAAUGUCAUGGAUUGCGUGUUAAUAAUGAAGGUGAGUGUCCCUGGUGAGUGUAAUGGGAGUCCCGCAGGGUCCAACUGAGUUUUAAGGAGCCACAUUGUGAGGAAACUCGAUUGCAGUUUUGUUUUCAAGCUUCUUUUUGAAUUAGCACAGUGCAGGACUAAUAGCCGACUACCCGCUCAUCAAGGCACGGCAAAUGGUGACAAGAUAAACAAAGUUAGAUUGAUUUUUUUUUUUUUUGUGAGGACGGGGGUUGGGGGUUGCCAAGUGUGCAAAAUCCCCCCAACCUCACAAGUUGGGUCAAAUUGAGCCAAGUUGCAGAUCAGUCCAUUUUACCCCCAACUUGGGUUAUUUUUGAGCCACUUGUUUUCGGCACAUUAAGAUUGUUUCUAAAUCUUUGUUAGAUUGCAGAAGAUUUAACUAGAUUAAAUGAGAAUCAAUUGAUUUGAUUUUGUGCGUGCUACUGGAUUCAUUUUGUGAGAGCGGAGAGAGGAAUUUCUUCAGAGGAAGAAAAAGGUCACAGAAAUGGAAGUGUUUAGGUGAGCUAAGCACCUGCUUCAACUUGCGUUAACAAACCGGGUGGAGCAUUUCCCGCUGAGAAUAUCAGCAUUGACCACACCAAAACUGUCGAGCUCAGCAGGUGAGUCAUAAGCAGAUUUGACCAGUUUUGUUUUGUUUUGUUUUGUUUUUGCAGGGGCAAGGCUGGAGGUUAAUAUGGUGGCGCUGGUUCGUUGUAAUAGUGUUGGAUCCACUUCUCACUAAAUGCGAAGAGAAACCGAUUGCUUCUUCUUUUUACAUAAACACCAUUUUUUUUUUGAUUGAGUUCAGUGGACAAUGUGCGACUCCAUCUGAUGCAACAGUAUGCUACAGACAUAUGGAAAUACAUAAAGCUAAUUACAGCGCCUCGGUAAACCGCAGUAAUCUUUUCUCCCAAGUGAUAAAGA